rnacentral:rRNA from 1 species
AGUAUAAGAAAAUAUAGAAGUUAUACCUUUUGUAUCAGGGAAGUUUAAAAUUUAAGUAAAAGGAUAAUCGAGUGAUUCGGAACUUCUCUGCAAGUUAUUAGUAGCAGUUAAUAGCUUAAAAUUUUAAGAGGUGAUAAGUUAACGGCGAAUUUGGUAGCUAAUUGGUUUUUAAAAGGAGGGUUAAGCCUCCUGGAGUCUAUUCUACUAGUAUAGCAAGGAAAAUUAGGCUUUAAGUUAGCCGUAUUGUCUUGUUGUUAAAAAUGAUCCUUUUAAAAGUAAUAUAUAUAUAUAGAGUUUAAACCUGUAUUUCUUAGUAAUAAGGUGUAUAAAUAAUGAAUUUAUUGAAUAAUACAGGGAGCUUAAAAAUAACUCGUGUUAAGCUAGAUAGUUUAGCAAAAACAUUUCUUUUUUUAAAAAAAGUAAGGCCUGCCCAGUGAAAAAUUUAACGGCUGCGGUAUUUUGACUGUGCUAAGGUAGCAUAAUAAUUUGUUCUUUAAUUGAGAGCUGGAAUGAAUGGUUAAACUAGUUUAUUUAGUUUGGAAAGUUAUAUAGGAAAUUUAAGUAAAGGUAAGAAUUCUUUUAUACUCUAGGGGACGAUAAGACCCUAUAAGCUUUAUAAAAAUUUUACAGUUAGUGAUUGGGUGGGUUUUAUUUUACUGGGGCGGUAGUAGUACGUAAACUAUAAUAUUUUUGGUAGAUCCUUUAUAUAAAGAUAAGGCGGAAAAGUUACUUUAGGGAUAACAGUGCAAUAUUUUUGGAGAGAUCUUAUCGAUAAAUAUGUUUGCAACCUCGAUGUUGAAUUAAAAUAUCUACACAGAGUAGAAGGUGUGUAAGGUAGUUUGUUCAACC